rnacentral:rRNA from 1 species
GACGAACGCUGGCGGCGUGCUUAACACAUGCCAGUCGAACGGAAAGGCCUCUUUCGGGGGGUACUCGAGUGGCGAACGGGUGAGUAACACGUGAGUAACCUGCCCUUGACUUUGGGAUAACUUCAGGAAACUGGGGCUAAUACCGGAUAGGAGCUCCUGCUGCAUGGUGGGGGUUGGAAAGUUUCGGCGGUUGGGGAUGGACUCGCGGCUUAUCAGCUUGUUGGUGGGGUAGUGGCUUACCAAGGCUUUGACGGGUAGCCGGCCUGAGAGGGUGACCGGCCACAUUGGGACUGAGAUACGGCCCAGACUCCUACGGGAGGCAGCAGUGGGGAAUAUUGCACAAUGGGUGGAAGCCUGAUGCAGCAACGCCGUGUGCGGGAUGGCGGCCUUCGGGUUGUAAACCGCUUUCGCUCAUGACGAAGCUUUGUGUGACGGUAGUGGGUAAAGAAGCACCGGCUAACUACGUG